AAAUCAACUAUUCUUGAGGACGCCCACAGAGCCUGAUACAUCGUUGACAAUAUUCGAGAUCUGAGAGUGGAUUUGGAAAAGGGAAGCGCUCUAGUAUUACACUCUCUUCCCUGUGUCUGAUGUAAAGGUGUCGUAACGUCACCUUUUUACCAUUUUGGACGAUUUUUCGGUGGUAUUUAUAUUCUUUGACUGGCGAGUCCGGCACUAAGUUUGACGGACAAAAUGGCGGCUAACAACAAGGCUUAUCAGUUCUGUUAUCUGAUUGGUCAGUUGGAACCUGUCAAUCAACACUGGCGUAAGGUCAAUUAUUAGCGCAGCGUCUUAAAUCAGUAAGCGAUUUCAUCCCUGUGAGAUACCUCAGGUAAAUAUCGAUCGGGGAAGUUUAUGAAUACACAGUGUAGCUAGCUGUUUACCGUGUACUGAUAAGGGUUUAAAGACGACACGUGUUGAUGAAAGUCUGUGUUUUCACAAGUUUGCGGUUAAUUGGAGCAGGAGUGAUUGGAUUAUAAUUAGUUAAAGAUUAUAAUUAGUCUCUGCAACGAAAUGGGAUAACAGUUGGUGACGGAGUGCAUGGGCUCUUUCAUCACUCUUCUCCCUUGAAGAAGACCGGGCAGUUAUUGAAUGGGCACAGGCGAAAGCCACCCUUACCACAGAUGAACACUUUGCGCACCAUGGAGUGGAUUGUUGGUAAUCUGUCCGAGUCUCACCCAAACAUGAGCAAAGUCGCUACAGUGGGACUGCUUCUACCAACCUCCACAGCUGAUUGUGAGAGAGGUUUCAGCAGUUGAAUGUGUAAAGACCAUCCACCAUUUACCAGUGAGCAUGAAAGUGCUUAAUGCCUUACUCAUGGUGUCCAUGCAGGGACAAAAAUUGAAUGACUUUAAUUUCAGUGGUGCAGUAAAGGAAUUGCACAGAGCCAAAGACAGACACUUACCGGUAUAUGAAAACAAAAAUGCCUAUGUGUUGUUAGUGUUAGUACAAAAGAAGUGGAAGGACAUAUGUGUUGUUUGAAAAUACAUAUAAAAGAAGUGGACAUCUGUUUAGUGUAUAUGAUAUAUUGAUGGUUAUAUGAUUAUGUAAAAAUGUAGAAGUAAUGAAAUACAUGUUGUUGUGUUUUUUUGCAUAUGGUAUACUUAAAAAAGCACCAUUUGGGUUCGAUUUUUUUUUUAAAAAAACGAACACGGGAGG